UUAGCCAUGAAUACAUGUAUAAGACGCAGUAAAAAAUUGAGUUAUUAAUGUAUCAUAUUUUAUCUUACUUCAGUAACCAUUCUGGAAGGUGUAUUAUAUAAUGAAUUUUAGGAAUUAUAGAAGCAUUAGGGUAAAGCUGACAGAAAUUUUCAUGUUCUCUUAUUAAGUCUUUUAAAUAAGGAACAACAUCCUCUGAUGUGACUGGUCCAAACACAUAUUCAACAAUUGUUAGCAAAAGCAAGAAGUUUUCCUAGUGAGGUUCACCUACAGGUAUGAACUCUCCAACUAAUAAAGGCAACAAUCUGGCCAAGCACCACAUUUGUGUUGCUAUAAUAGAAUGAGGUAUAACUCUGAAUCAUGCAUCAUAAUUAACAUACCUGAUUGCUUUAGACUAUGAUCAUGAGAAGUAAGAGUAAUGAUUGAAGGUUUAUUUGAACUAUCACAAUAUCCUUAAGGAAAACUUUCAAUUUGUUGAUUCAAAAAUGAGAGUGGAAUAAGUCAUCUUUCUUGUGUUACGUGUAUCAGCAACUCUUUAGUCUCAUAUUGUAAAGCACCUUCCAAUAUAUCAUGCAUAAUGUCAGGUGCAAGACCUUCAGUCACAUGAAAGCCAAGAAUUGCUCACCAUCUAAAAGUAUUCCGUGAUACAUACAGUCAGCACCGUUUAAGGACAGAGAACAAUAUGUGCCCCUUACAAUUAUGGAUUAGUGGAAUGGCAAUGUUGCAUGAUGAUACUGAAAAUGAUUUUUUUCCAUUUGACACACAUUAUGGUGUAGACUGGGAUGGUCCUGCUGUUUUAGAUAAUGAAGACAUUACUGUUCCACCAGAGAAUUGCCCUCUUAGUGAAGAACAGCUAGCUUUAUUGAAGCAAAGUGUGGACCCUUUGCAAGACUGUGAAGAUUAUGGAGUGCCAUUAUAUGUAGCUGUUCGCAAUUUUGUUUAUGCUGCUAUUGCUUGAAGUACUCUUUUUUCAAUUGUUGUAGGUAUUGUUAAAUGAACACAGAGAUUCAUAUUUAGCAUUGAACCUAAAGGUUUAUAAUGUUAUUAUCUAUUAAAAUUGAAUGUGUUUCAUACUCAUUAUCAUACUUUUCAUUGUAAUUAUGA